GAUGAACGCUGGCGGCGUGCCCAAGACAGGCAAGUCGAGCGAACGGACGAGAAGCUUGCUUUGCGGAGGGUAGCGGCGGACGGGUGAGGAACACGGGGAGAACCGACCUAUAAGACGGGGAUAACGGCGGGAAACCGGAGCUAAUACCGGAUAAUAUUUUGAACCGCAUGGUUCAAAAGUGAAAGACGGUCUUGCUGUCACUUAUAGAUGGAUCCGCGCUGCAUUGGCUAGUUGGUAAGGUAACGGCUUACCAAGGCAACGAUGCAUAGCCGACCUGAAAGGGUGCUCGGCCCCACUGGAACUGAGACACGGUCCAGACUCCUACGGGAGGCAGCAGUAGGGAAUCUUCCGCAAUGGGCGAAAGCCUGACGGAGCAACGCCGCGUGAGUGAUGAAGGUCUUCGGAUCGUAAAACUCUGUUAUUCGGGAAGAACAUAUGUGUAAGUAACUGUGCACAUCUUGACGGUACCUAAUCAGAAAGCCACGGCUAACUACGUG
rnacentral:rRNA from 1 species